UACGUAGGGAGCAAGCGUUGUCCGGAAUUAUUGGGCGUAAAGGGCGCGUAGGCGGCCGGCCAAGUCGGGUGUGAAAUCCCUCGGCUCAACCGAGGAAUUGCAUCCGAUACUGGCUGGCUGGAGUCCGGGAGGGGAUGGUGGAAUUCCCAGUGUAGCGGUGAAAUGCGUAGAUAUUGGGAAGAACACCGGUGGCGAAGGCGACCAUCUGGACCGGAACUGACGCUGAGGCGCGAAAGCCAGGGGAGCGAAUGGG
rnacentral:rRNA from 1 species